AUCACCAGAGAUAAAUGAAUUUCACUAUUGGAUUACCCCUUGAAAUCAAUAUUUGAAUUUGAGUAUCUGAGUAGCGUAGAACUCACUGAGUUCCCUUGCCACACACCGCAGACCACAAACUAAAUGAGUUCCUGAGAGAUCUCUGGCGCCAAAUUAGAAACCUUUAGCCAAGCGACCAUGUGAUGAUCUACGGGCAUCGACCUGUCCAAGUUCUAUUCAAGUAUCGUUGACCCGACUUGCCUUUGAAUAUCUUCGGGUGGGCAAUGAAUUGGAAGCUCGGAUCAACUUUGGGGAAAGGGGAUGCUUUCUCCCGACAAUUAAGGAUUUUGGUGUGCGUGAAGGCGAAUUUUAGUUCUUCGCGAAAUUAACUUCGUUAAUUUCACGUAAUAUCCGGGGACGAAUAUUUUUAGAACUCGCGCUUUAUCUGAGGACCUUGAGACUUUGCUCGAUCACUUCGUUCAGGUCCGCGGAAGAGUCGAGAACGGUCCGAGCAGUAAUUCGCGCCGUGGUGUGUUCAAGAAGGUGAACUUAGUUCAAGUGUGAAAGUGCUUCUACUUUACUAAUUUAGAUUAUCCUGUUUAAUUUCCCUCCAAAUAGUUAGUUUAGCUAGGCAAGUAAAGUGCAUAGUGCAAUUUUGGCGGUUUUCUGGUGCGAGCGUAGACUUGCGGAUAAAGCGAUUUGUGGCAAGUUGCGGAAGCCCGGCACACCACCACCCCCCGUUUUAAAAACGACCGUUUUCGUCCCGCCUUCCUGCUACGAAGACGUGUACCCGGCGGUACACGUGGCCGGAGAGGGCAGCGCACGUUAUUCCCGCGCCCUAGGCAGGGCAGUAGCAACGGGUCCGGCUUUGAGCCGGCCAUCGUCCAUUUCGAAAGUGUCCCGAGUGGAAACAAGCGUCCAAAAAGUUUUUCGUUCGGAUUCGAUCCGGCGACGACCAGCGUGGCAAGCACGACCGAGUCCACUACACCACCGGCGGUGACGAUCGUCGGUGCGACGGCCGUA